rnacentral:tRNA from 1 species
GCCACCGUAACUCAAUGGCAGAGUAGCUGUUUUGUAAACAGCAAGUUAAGGGUUCGACCCCCUUCGGUGGCU